UUUUUUUUUUUUUUUUUUUUUUUUUUUUUUUUUUUUUUUUUUUUUUUUUUUUUUCCUCUCGAACAAAAAGCAAGGCUUGAUUGUGCGACCGCGCCCGAAGCACGGAAAACAAAAG
rnacentral:ribozyme from 1 species